AUUGAACGCUGGCGGCAUGCCUUACACAUGCAAGUCGAACGGCAGCACGGGGGCAACCCUGGUGGCGAGUGGCGAACGGGUGAGUAAUGCAUCGGAACGUGCCCAGUAGUGGGGGACAACCAGUCGAAAGAUUGGCUAAUACCGCAUACGACCUAUGGGUGAAAGCGGGGGACCGUAAGGCCUCGCGCUAUUGGAGCGGCCGAUGUCUGAUUAGCUAGUUGGUGAGGUAAAAGCUCACCAAGGCGACGAUCAGUAGCUGGUCUGAGAGGACGACCAGCCACACUGGGACUGAGACACGGCCCAGACUCCUACGGGAGGCAGCAGUGGGGAAUUUUGGACAAUGGGCGCAAGCCUGAUCCAGCCAUGCCGCGUGCGGGAAGAAGGCCUUCGGGUUGUAAACCGCUUUUGGCAGGAACGAAACGGCGACUUCUAAUACGAGUCGUUAAUGACGGUACCUGCAGAAUAAGCACCGGCUAACUACGUGCCAGCCGCCGCUGUAAUAC
rnacentral:rRNA from 1 species